ACGAACGCUGGCGGCGUGCUUAACACCUGCAAGUCGAACGGAAAGGCCCUGCUUGCAGGGUACUCGAGUGGCGAACGGGUGAGUAACACGUGGGUGAUCUGCCCUGCACUUCGGGAUAAGCUUGGGAAACUGGGUCUAAUACCGGAUAGGAGCCAUCUUUAGUGUGGUGGUUGGAAAGUUUUUUCGGUGUAGGAUGAGCUCGCGGCCUAUCAGCUUGUUGGUGGGGUAAUGGCCUACCAAGGCGGCGACGGGUAGCCGGCCUGAGAGGGUGUACGGCCACAUUGGGACUGAGAUACGGCCCAGACUCCUACGGGAGGCAGCAGUGGGGAAUAUUGCACAAUGGGCGCAAGCCUGAUGCAGCGACGCCGCGUGGGGGAUGAAGGCAUUCGGGUUGUAAACUCCUUUCGCUAGGGACGAAGCUUUUUUGUGACGGUACCUAGAUAAGAAGCACCGGCUAACUACGUG
rnacentral:rRNA from 1 species